AGCAGAAUUGGGCGUAUGGGAUAACUAUUGUGUGAAGAAACAGCUUCUUCAUUCCUGUACUGUGAUUACCACCAACAUUCUCCUGAGAUCGUGAGAGCUGGAAUGUCCUCUUUAAAAGCCUCCCUGUGUCAUCUGGAUCUUGAAGAUUAUGAAAUGAUUCUGAGGGAUAUAGCUGUGGAUUUUUGUCCAAGCCUCAAAUGGUUGUUCAAGGAAUUUUCUUCUCCCAUAUGAAAAAAAAGAAAAAGAUUGGGAACAUAUUGAAAUUAUAGUGUGAAAUUAUAAUUACAAUAUUUUUAAUUGCACUGCAUAUACAUGCAUAAAGCAGGUUCUUUUUACCCAGUGAACAGGAUCAUUCGUUUUACUUACAGUGACAUAAAUUACAUGUUAGAUAAACA
rnacentral:lncRNA from 1 species